rnacentral:rRNA from 1 species
GACGUAGGGGGCAAGCGUUGUCCGGAAUUAUUGGGCGUAAAGCGCUUGUAGGCGGCACGUCAAGUCGCGUGUGAAAUCCCCAGGCUUAACCUGGGAAGUGCGCGCGAAACUGACGAGCUUGAGUGCCGGAGAGGGUCGCGGAAUUCCCGGUGUAGAGGUGAAAUUCGUAGAUAUCGGGAGGAACACCAGUGGCGAAGGCGGCGACCUGGACGGACACUGACGCUGAGACGCGAAAGCGUGGGGAGCAAACAGG